AUUGAACGCUGGCGGCAUGCUUUACACAUGCAAGUCGAACGGUAACAGGUUAAGCUGACGAGUGGCGAACAGGUGAGUAAUGCAUCGGAACGUGCCCGGUCGUGGGGGAUAACGCAGCGAAAGCUGCGCUAAUACCGCAUACGAUCUGAGGAUGAAAGCGGGGGACCGUAAGGCCUCGCGCGAUCGGAGCGGCCGAUGUCAGAUUAGGUAGUUGGUGGGGUGAAGGCACACCAAGCCAACGAUCUGUAGCUGGUCUGAGAGGACGACCAGCCACACUGGGACUGAGACACGGCCCAGACUCCUACGGGAGGCAGCAGUGGGGAAUUUUGGACAAUGGGCGAAAGCCUGAUCCAGCAAUGCCGCGUGCAGGAAGAAGGCCUUCGGGUUGUAAACUGCUUUUGUACGGAGCGAAAAGGUCUCCUCUAAUACAGGGGGCUCAUGACGGUACCGUAAGAAUAAGCACCGGCUAACUACGUGCCAGCCGCCGCUGUAA
rnacentral:rRNA from 1 species